GCAGCUUUAGCUCAUCUGGGAGAGCGUCAGACUGAAGAUACUUUAGGUAAUCUGGAGGUACUGUGUUCGAGCCACAGAAGCUGCA